rnacentral:lncRNA from 1 species
CCCCCCCCCUCUAGCGUUAAGCGUAUUUUCUAACAUAUUAUACUUACGAGCAAGUUUUGCUGCAUCAAUUGCAUAUUCAGGAUUUGGUAACAAAGCUGGUACAAGGGAUUGGAACCACUGUAUUGUAUGAGUCGGAAUGGCUCUUAUGCCAUAUUUUCACUCUGGCACCUCAUCAGCAUCCGGAUCAAAAUGGUCCUCUUCCUCCACAAUUGGUGCUGGAGGUGGUGCCCUUCUUCCUCCUCGUCUGCUAGAAGUGGCAGCUUCAUAUAAUCAUGUGUUUGAUCUUUUGCUUGGUCUUCGAGACAUUAUAUCUACACAAUCAUGAAAUAUUAUAAAGAAAAUCAUUUUAAGAGCAAGUGGAGCAAAACACCCCAUACUUUAUAUCAUUAACAUGUUGACAUUUAUCAUGUAAAACAAGGAUUAAGACUACCAUGUUCUUCAAUUAGAAUGAUAUAAUGUUUAUCAGCUCACCCAAAUGUAGAGACAAUGACAACAAUGGAAAAGAAAAUAAUAUAAAGAGACCAAAAAGUAUACUAAAAAUAUUAAACUUAAACAUAUAAAUAAACGGAUUCAUUUUACAAAAUUCUAAGUUGUUUAUACAAAGUAUACUACAUAAGUGUGUUGGCAAGAAUCUUUAUUCUCAUUUUUUCACAAAGCAAAAAAUGAACAAUCAUGUUUUAACUUAAUGUUAUAGUUGUUAUAAAUAGCAAUAUCUCACAAUCCACUUUGUUUCUCAAUUUACAACUUAAUUCAAUUUCAUGUCAUAUAGACAUUUUAACAAACACAUUGUGAGCAUGUCUUGCUUUCUUUAAAUUUUAACUUAAAAUGAAGUAUAAUCACCAUAUCAACAACACACAUCUACCUCACUUCACAAUUAUAACAACACCAAACCUUCACAACAAUAUUUAAACCACAAAUUUUCACUUUAUGAUAUGUAUUUUCUGAUUAGUGUGCCCCUCAACAAUUUUUAUCAAGAAACACAACACACUUCACCUCAACACACCUUCUAAUCCUCCAUAACCACAAAUAAAAUAUACAUGUUAACUUUCAACUAGUAUUUGUAACUAUAUUAACAAAAUAAAUUAAAAGAAUUUAUGAACACAAAUUUUCUAGGGCUUAUAGAUAUAGAUGAAAAUAAAAAUAAAAUACAACAUGUGUUACUACUAAAUUGAAAGAAGAAAGAAAAGAAUUACUUACCUUUGGAGAAGAGCUUGAGGAGAGAUUGUUGGGUGAAUUGGAUGGUUUGAGAGUUGGAAUGGCAAAUAGUUGGGGAGGGAUUGAGAAUGAGAUAAGGUUUUAAUGAUUAAGGGGAGAGGGGGACGGUUUAUUUAGAUACAAUACAAAUUUGUUUUAAUUAAAACACACUACCGCGUCGUGCCCCGCGGCGCGGUAGUGCAAAUUUUUGUGCUACUUCCUUUUUUUGUAUUAU